rnacentral:lncRNA from 1 species
GGCAAGUUUAGAGCCAUUGGAGAGCUUUAAAUGAGCAUUAAAUACAGUCAAAAUAAGUUUAAAAACUAACCGUUAUGAAGAUUUUCCGUCACAGGGGUCGACUCAUAGGAUCAUCCCCUGCACAAGGAUCGACUCAUAGGGUGGACCUCUAUGGUGCAGAACAAAAAGUGAUUGUUCUGUAUCUUUGGCUUACACAGACAAU